rnacentral:rRNA from 1 species
CUGACCCGCACGAAAGGUGUAAUGAUCCCUUCGCUGUCUCGGCUGCAGACUCGGUGAAAUUUUAGUACCGGUGAAGAUGCCGGUUACCCGCAACUAGACGGAAAGACCCCGUGGAGCUUUACUAUAACUUGAUAUUGAAAUUUGGUGUAACGUGUAGAGGAUAGGUGGGAGACUAUGAGACCAGGACGCCAGUACUGGUGGAGUCAACCUUGGAAUACCACCCUCGUUACAUUGGGUUUCUAACUUCGACCCGUUAUCCGGGUUAAGGACAGUGUCUGGUGGGUAGUUUGACUGGGGCGGUCGCCUCCCAAAAAGUAACGGAGGCGCUCAAAGGUAUCCUCAGUAUGGUUGGAAAUCAUACAUAGAGCGCAAAGGUAGAAGGAUGCUUAACUGCGAGACUUACAAGUCGAACAGAUACGAAAGUAGGACUUAGUGAUCCGGCGGUCCCGAGUGGAAGGGCCGUCGCUCAACGGAUAAAAGUUACCCCGGGGAUAACAGGCUUAUCUCCCCCAAGAGUUCACAUCGACGGGGAGGUUUGGCACCUCGAUGUCGGCUCAUCGCAUCCUGGAGCUGUAGUCGGUUCCAAGGGUUGGGCUGUUCGCCCAUUAAAGCGGUACGCGAGCUGGGUUCAGAACGUCGUGAGACAGUUUGGUCCCUAUCUGUUGUGGGCGUAGGAAAAUUGAAGAGAGCUGUUCCUAGUACGAGAGGACCGGAAUGGACGCACCCCUGGUGCUCCUGUUGUCACGCCAGUGGCAUAGCAGGGUAGCUAUGUGCGGACAGGAUAAUCGCUGAAGGCAUCUAAGCGAGAAGCCCCCUUUAAGAUGAAUUUUCCCAUUUGUAAG